GUCUCUUAAGUCUGAUGUGAAAGCCCCCGGCUCAACCGGGGAGGGUCAUUGGAAACUGGGAGACUUGAGUGCAGAAGAGGAGAGUGGAAUUCCAUGUGUAGCGGUGAAAUGCGUAGAUAUAUGGAGGAACACCAGUGGCGAAGGCGGCUCUCUGGUCUGUAACUGACGCUGAGGCUCGAAAGCGUGGGGAGCAAACAGGAUUAGAAACCCUGGUAGUC
rnacentral:rRNA from 1 species